rnacentral:misc_RNA from 1 species
UUAAGUUCAGCGGGUAUCCCUACCUGAUCCGAGGUCAAGCGUAAAGGUAUAGGCUUGUGGACGCCGCCGCACCCAGCGGAGAGCGCAAAAUGUGCUGCGCUCUCACACGGGACGGCUGGCUGCCAAUGCAUUUGAGGCGAGUUCACGCGCGCGGCGGAACAAACGACCCACCACCACGCAGGGCUGGAGGGUACAAAUGA